rnacentral:rRNA from 1 species
CCCGCUGAACUUAAGCAUAUCAAUAAGCGGAGGAAAAGAAACUAACAAGGAUUCCCCUAGUAACUGCGAGUGAAGCGGGAAGAGCUCAAAUUUAAAAUCUGGCGGUCUCGCGGCCGUCCGAGUUGUAAUCUGGAGAAGCGUUUUCCGCGUCGGACCGUGUACAAGUCUUCUGGAACGGAGCGUCGUAGAGGGUGAGAAUCCCGUCUCUGACACGGACAGCCGAUGCUUCAUGUGAUACGCUCUCGAAGAGUCGAGUUGUUUGGGAAUGCAGCUCAAAAUGGGUGGUAAAUUCCAUCUAAAGCUAAAUAUUGGCGAGAGACCGAUAGCGAACAAGUACCGUGAGGGAAAGAUGAAAAGAACUUUGAAAAGAGAGUUAAACAGUACGUGAAAUUGUUGAAAGGGAAACGUUUGAAAUCAGUCAUUUCUUCUGGAAAUCAGCCUUGCUUUUGCAUGGUGUAUUUUCCAGUGGAAAGGUUAACGUCAAUUUUGGUUGUCGGAUAAAAGCCUUUGGAAUGUGGCUCUCUUCGGGGAGUGUUAUAGCCAAGGUCAAUACGAUGACUGGGAUUGAGGAUUCGCCGCCAAUGCUCUCUGGGCAGUGGCAUCAUGCGCUCAGGUUAACACUCUGCUAGACAGCUUGCUGACUAGUAGUUUGAAGAUUUGACUCGUGUGGUUCCCACUCAUUGGCGUAGGACGUUAACUUAAUGGUUUUAAACGACCCGUCUUGAAACACGG